rnacentral:rRNA from 1 species
CUACGGGGGGCAGCAGUCAAGAAUCUUCCCCAAUGGGCGAAAGCCUGAGGGAGCGACGCCGCGUGAUGGAAGAAGCUCUUCGGAGCGUAAACAUCUUUUCUGCCUGACGAACUUAUGACGGUAAGGCAGGAAUAAGGGGCUGCUAACCUCGUGCCAGCAGCAGCGGUAAUACGAGGGCCCCGAGCGUUAUCCGGAUUUACUGGGCGUAAAGCGUCUGUAGGCGGUCUUGCAAGUCAUCGGUUAAAUUCUGAAGCUCAACUUCGGAACCGCCGAUGAAACUGCGUGACUUGAGGCCGGAAGAGGCAGAUGGAAUUGCCGGUGUAACGGUAAAAUGUGUUAAUAUCGGCAAGAACACCAAAUGCGAAAGCAUUCUGCUGGGACGGUCCUGACGCUGAGAGACGAAAGCGUGGGGAGCGAAUAGGAUUAGAUACCCCAGUAGUC